GGUGGAUUGUCCAUUGGAAAGGGGGCUGGAUUUGGAGUCAGAAGACCUGGGUUCAAAUCCCAGCUCUACCA
rnacentral:tRNA from 1 species